rnacentral:rRNA from 1 species
GUCUAUGGCCAUGCCACCCUGAACAAGCCCAAUCCCGUCUGAUCUUGGAAGCUAAGCAGGGUCGGGCCCGGUUAGUACUUGGAUGGGAGACCACCUAGGAAGACCAGGUACUGUAGGCG